rnacentral:rRNA from 1 species
UACGUAGGGGGCUAGCGUUAUCCGGAAUUACUGGACGUAAAGGGUGCGUAGGUGGUUUCUUAAGUCAGAGGUGAAAGGCUACGGCUCAACCGUAGUAAGCCUUUGAAACUGGGGAACUUGAGUGCAGGAGAGGAGAGUGGAAUUCCUAGUGUAGCGGUGAAAUGCGUAGAUAUUAGGAGGAACACCAGUUGCGAAGGCGGCUCUCUGGACUGUAACUGACACUGAGGCACGAAAGCGUGGGGAGCAAACAGG